CCUACGGGUGGCAGCAGUGAGGAAUAUUGGUCAAUGGGCGCGAGCCUGAACCAGCCAAGUCGCGUGAGGGAGGACGGCCCUACGGGUUGUAAACCGCUUUUGCCGGGGAGCAACGGGCGCCACGUGUGGCGUCACGCAGAGUACCCGGAGAAAAAGCAUCGGCUAUCUCCGUGCCAGCAGCCGCGGUAAUACGGAGGAUGCGAGGGUGAUCCGGUUUCAUUGGGUUUAAGGGGUGCGUGGGCGGAUCUUUAAGGCAGUGGUCAAAUUGAGGGGCUCAACCCCUUCCCGCCAUUGAAACUGGCGUUCUUGAGUGGACGAGAAGUAUGCGGAAUGCGUGGUGUAGCGGUGAAAUGCAUAGAUAUCACGCAGAACCCCGAUUGCGAAGGCAGCCUGCCGGCUUCCGACUGACGCUGAAGCACGAAAGCGUGGGGAUCGAACAGGAUUAGAUACCCCGGUAGUC
rnacentral:rRNA from 1 species